GUUAAUCAUCGAAUCUUUGAACGCAAAUUGCACUCUCUGGCAUCCCGGAGAGUAUGCCUGUUUGAGGGUCAGUUCAAUAAAAAUCGGCGUGUCGCUUUCGUGAUGACUAGGAGGUUGGGUCUUCUUAGCUUUAGGUUAAGAGUCUUAAAAUUGAUAUCCUUUUUGCGCGCUUUUCGACGUACAUAAUUUUUUUUAUUCGUCUAUUCCGGUGCCAAAAUUUACUAGGUACGUUUUUCUUGUGCCUAUUAUUUCUCAU
rnacentral:misc_RNA from 1 species